UACGAGGGGGGCAAGCGUUGUUCGGAAUUAUUGGGCGUAAAGGGCGGCGUAGGCGGUUGCGGGUUAAAGGUCACCUGUGGAAACCUCUAGGCUUAACCUAGAGCCGUGCCAGGCGAAACUGCCGUGCUUGAGGGUGGGAGAGGUGCGUGGAAUUCCGGUGUAGCGGUGAAAUGCGUAGAUAUCGGGAGGACACCUGUGGCGAAAGCGGCGCACUGGACCACAUCUGACGCUGAGGCGCGAAAGCUAGGGGAGCAAACAGG
rnacentral:rRNA from 1 species